GGCCCUCACCUUGGCCCCCAGCCUGUGAGCCCCAGGCCAGCCUCCUUCUGUUCCCAGGCACUCCCACGGCCCCCCAGCCGUGAUGGGGGUCAGGGCCCUGGGCUGGCGGCUUCCUCAGAGGGUCCGGGCCAGGUCCUGCGGCACGAGAGCGGCCCUCCCACUGGGCAUGAGAGCCCAGGGCCCUGGCCGGGGAGGGCAUUCGGACCCCUCUGACUUCUCGUCCAUUCUGCUUGGUUUCCAUUAAUUUUUCUACUCGAAACUCCAUCGGAAUAAAUGCUUGAAAACCCGUGUGGUUGUCUGUGCUGUUCCAGGGGUGGGGGGAGGCCACACAGGACCCCAAGGCCAGGGCCCAGCAUGGCUACACUUGAAAUGCCACCGUCACCCCCUAUCCUCGGAGGGGCAGGGCCCUCCCCAGGCACCUGCUCUAACCCCCAGAAGAGAAGGGGCGCUGCUGGGAGGCCGAGGGCAGAGCACAGGGCAGAGGGAAGGCAGGCCCUCCCAUAGGGGUUCAGGGAGGAGGGGCCGCCCCUCACACACACCCUCACCUGGAACGUCCUGGGACCCCAGGCUCUGCUGCGCCUGGAGCUGUGCCGACACUGACAGCGUCGCCAGGGCCAAGUUUCAGGAGUUGAACCAUUGUGUUGGGACUGAAUAAUGAAAAGGAGCCUUACUAAAAUGUAGCCUGGAGGCCAGAAGGGGGCGCUCUCGCCCCGGACACGCGUGUCAAUCACAGGAGGACUCGUCAACCGGAAAGAAUCCUCAAUCACUGGUCCAGCAGGAAAGAUGCGCCUGGCAUCUUCCCAACCAACCGCCCAUGAAGGCCUGCGGGGGUGGGGGAGGGAGGGGGGGGGCUGGAGGAGGCUAAUGAGGGGAACAAGAGGACAUGCGUAAUACUUUCAACAAUGAAGAUGAAAAAACCCCACAAAAACCCAAGUAGGUAAACUUAGACUUAUCUAGAAAAAAAAUAAAAGAAAAAGAAUAAAGAAAAGAAACCGUCCACCCAACAACUCAGCCAGUGACGAGCCGCGAGCUCCCGCCUUUCCCCCAGGGACUUUUGUGCAAAAAAAAUCCCUCCCAACUUCCUCCUUUUUCUCCAUAAAACACGAUUCCUCUCCUGUGUCUGUUGGACUCCCCAUGGCUUUUGCUAUAGCUUGCUUGUCCGGAGUAAACCCAUUUUCACGGCUAA